rnacentral:rRNA from 1 species
AGUGAACGCUGGCGGUAGGCCUAACACAUGCAAGUCGAACGGCAGCACAGGAGAGCUUGCUCUCUGGGUGGCGAGUGGCGGACGGGUGAGGGAUACAUCGGAAUCUACUCUGUCGUGGGGGAUAACGUAGGGAAACUUACGCUAAUACCGCAUACGACCUACGGGUGAAGGCAGGGGACCUUCGGGCCUUGCGCGAUUGAAUGAGCCGAUGUCGGAUUAGCUAGUUGGCGGGGUAAAGGCCCACCAAGGCGACGAUCCGUAGCUGGUCUGAGAGGAUGAUCAGCCACACUGGAACUGAGACACGGUCCAGACUCCUACGGGAGUCAGCAGUGGGGAAUAUUGGACAAUGGGCGCAAGCCUGAUCCAGCCAUACCGCGUGGGUGAAGAAGGCCUUCGGGUUGUAAAGCCCUUUUGUUGGGAAAGAAAUCCAGCUGGCUAAUACCCGGUUGGGAUGACGGUACCCAAAGAAUAAGCACCGGCUAACUUCGUGCCAGCCGCCGCCGUAA